rnacentral:rRNA from 1 species
GAUGAACGCUAGCGGCAGGCUUAACACAUGCAAGUCGAGGGGUAUUGGUUUUCGGACCAAGAGACCGGCGCACGGGUGCGUAACGCGUAUGCAAUCUACCUUUUGCAGAGGGAUAGCCCAGAGAAAUUUGGAUUAAUACCUCAUAGUAUAGUACUUUGGCAUCAAGGAACUAUUAAAGUCACAACGGCAAAAGAUGAGCAUGCGUCCAUUAGCUAGUUGGUAAGGUAACGGCUUACCAAGGCUACGAUGGGUAGGGGUCCUGAGAGGGAGAUCCCCCCANACUGGUACUGAGACACGGACCAGACUCCUACGGGAGGCAGCAGUGAGGAAUAUUGGACAAUGGGCGCAAGCCUGAUCCAGCCAUGCCGCGUGCAGGAAUAAGGUCCUAUGGAUUGUAAACUGCUUUUAUACAGGAAGAACACUCCGACGUGUCGGAGCUUGACGGUACUGUAAGAAUAAGGAUCGGCUAACUCCGUGCCAGCAGCCGCGGUAAAGUG